rnacentral:rRNA from 1 species
UACGUAGGCAGCGAGCGUUGUUCGGAGUUACUGGGCGUAAAGGGUGCGUAGGCGGUUGUUUAAGUUUGGUGUGAAAUCUCCCGGCUCAACUGGGAGGGUGCGCCGAAUACUGAAUGACUAGAGUGCGGGAGAGGAUAGUGGAAUUCCUGGUGUAGCGGUGAAAUGCGUAGAGAUCGGGAGGAACACCAGUGGCGAAGGCGGCUACCUGGACCAGCAUUGACACUCAAGCACGAAAGCGUGGGGAGCAAACAGG